GGCGGCGUGCCUAACACAUGCAAGUCGCACGAGAAAGGGUAGCAAUACCUGAGUAAAGUGGCGCACGGGUGAGUAACACGUGACUAAUCUACCCUCGAGUGGGGAAUAACUGAGAGAAAUCUUAGCUAAUACCGCAUAACACUUACGAGUCAAAGCAGCAAUGCGCUUGGGGAGGAGGUCGCGGCCGAUUAGCUAGUUGGCGGGGUAAUGGCCCACCAAGGCGAUGAUCGGUAUCCGGCCUGAGAGGGCGCACGGACACACUGGAACUGAAACACGGUCCAGACUCCUACGGGAGGCAGCAGUGGGGAAUUUUGCGCAAUGGGGGAAACCCUGACGCAGCAACGCCGCGUGGAGGAUGAAAUAUCUUGGUAUGUAAACUCCUUUCGAUGGGGAAGAUUAUGACGGUACCCAUAGAAGAAGCCCCGGCUAACUUCGUGCCAGCAGCCGCGGUAAUACGANGGGGGCAAGCGUUGUUCGGAUUUAUUGGGCGUAAAGGGUGCGUA
rnacentral:rRNA from 1 species